GUGAGGAAUUUUCCGCAAUGGGCGAAAGCCUGACGGAGCAAUGCCGCGUGAAGGAUGAAGGCCUAUGGGUUGUAAACUUCUUUUCUCAGAAAAGAAUUAUGACGGUAUCUGAGGAAUAAGCAUCGGCUAACUCUGUGCCAGCAGCCGCGGUAAGACAGAGGAUGCAAGCGUUAUCCGGAAUGAUUGGGCGUAAAGCGUCUGUAGGUUGUUUAAAAAGUAUUCUGUCAAAGAUUAGGGCUUAACCCUAGAUAGGCAGAAUAAACUUUUAAACUAGAGUUUGGUAGAGGCAGAGGGAAUUCCCGGUGGAGCGGUGAAAUGCGUAGAUAUCGGGAGGAACACCAAAGGCGAAGGCACUCUGCUGGGCCAAUACUAACACUGAGAGACGAAAGCGAGGGGAGCAAAUGGGAUUAGAAACCCUGGUAGUCC
rnacentral:rRNA from 1 species